UACGAAGGGGGCUAGCGUUGCUCGGAAUUACUGGGCGUAAAGGGCGCGUAGGCGGCCGAUCAAGUCAGGCGUGAAAUUCCUGGGCUCAACCUGGGGGCUGCGCUUGAGACUGGUUGGCUAGAGGCCGAGAGAGGGUGGUGGAAUUCCCAGUGUAGAGGUGAAAUUCGUAGAUAUUGGGAAGAACACCGGUGGCGAAGGCGGCCACCUGGCUCGGUACUGACGCUGAGGCGCGACAGCGUGGGGAGCAAACAGG
rnacentral:rRNA from 1 species